ACCAGACUCCUACGGGAGGCAGCAGUGAGGAAUAUUGGUCAAUGGGCGGAAGCCUGAACCAGCCAAGUCGCGUGAGGGAAGAAGGCCCUGCGGGUCGCAGACCUCUUUGGACGGGGAGCAAGGCCGCCGACGUGUCGGCGGAAGGAGAGUACCCGUAGAACAAGCAUCGGCUAACUCCGUGCCAGCAGCCGCGGUAAUACGUAGGUGGCAAGCGUUAUCCGGAUUUACUGGGUGUAAAGGGCGUGUAGGCGGGAAAGCAAGUCAGAUGUGAAAACCAUGGGCUCAACCUGUGGCCUGCAUUUGAAACUGUUUUUCUUGAGUACUGGAGAGGCAGACGGAAUUCCUAGUGUAGCGGUGAAAUGCGUAGAUAUUAGGAGGAACACCAGUGGCGAAGGCGGUGUGCUGGACAGCAACUGACGCUGAGGCGCGAAAGCGUGGGGAGCAAACAGGAUUAGAUACCCCAGUA
rnacentral:rRNA from 1 species